CAGUCCAUUUUUCACUUGUCUUUAAGUGCAAGUGAUGGGAAUUGCUAACCUCGGCUAAGAAAAUUUCAUUUCCCCCAUCCUGCUAAACGGUUCUGGUCGACAUAUGUUUGUUAUCAGAGAGAGGUGCUAUGAACACAGAGCCAUUUUCUUAGCAGCUCUUUGACUCUAUGUUACCAUAGUCCCACACGGCAUUGGUCCUUUCCCGUUGGGAAGUCAUGAAUAAGAGACUAUGAAGCUUGCACGUCAGAUCUUCCUCAAUUAAUCCACCAUUAGCAUGUUUGGGAUCCUCUACUGGAUGGUUAACAGCAGCUUUGGUAACUGUAUGCUGUCCAUACCCAAUUAUGCUCUGCUAAAAAUGAACUCUGCAGAACAACCUUCCUGAGCUGUCAGUGUCUCCCGUUUUCCUAUUUUAACGCUUGUGUGUAGUGGCAGGCGACAGAUGGUGUAGAUCAGAUCGAUUUGAUUGCAUUAGGCGAUUUUUUUUUUCCUCCUCUCCCCCCCGACUCCUUUUCUGGAAGCCCACAUUCAUCUGAGAGGCGAUCGCCGGGGACAUGGGAAGCAAGAGCAGCCGCCGAUGUGUGAAAGCAACGAGACAUGGCCAGCCAGAGGCGCCGGGGUCCCUUCACGGGGUUUGUUAACAUGGUAAUCCGGCACCAGGAGAGAAAGCUGCUUUCUGCUGCCCAGAGCCCAUUCCCCAUCACACAUCAGAUGACUCCCUGGUUUUACACACAGUUGGAGUUCUGCUCGAAACCUGGAUUUAAAGGCUGCCAUUUAGAAUACGACUUGAGAGCUUGCUGUGUUAGAGGAAUACAGGAAAUUACACCUACAAUGAGAUUAAAAUAGAGGAGAGUGUGUUGGAAAUAUUUUUUUAAUUAUUUAAGGAAUCUGUUGCUGCGUAUGACAUCUCUUGCAAGCUCCCAGAGAGAACUGAUGGAGCAUACAGCUAGGGAAUAGGAUACCAGAGAAGCACAGAGGAAGAAACCAGGCAAUCACCAGGAUGGAAAGGUUCAGCGUCCAUUGGAUAUGGGACAAGAUCGCUCGGCAACCCUUGUGGAUUCUCCUUCUUCUAGAGGCGAAUUAUAGUUAUGGAUUUAUUGUCCCGGUGCCGCACUUCCACCACCACCACCAGCAACAGCAGCAGCUUUCUGACUCUCUUCGGUGACGGGUAUUCUUGGGUGGAUAAUACGGAUUACGUUGUUAUUGCUUAAGAAUACGCGUAGUCGAGGAGAGUACCGGCGGCGGGCAGGCAGGCAGGCAGCGCGACCGCCCCCAGCCCACCAGCUGGCUCCUCACCUCCUCUAGUUGCCAAGAUGUUUGCUCUGCCAGAUUUGACCACAGGAAUGUGAGGCCAGUGGGCUGAGUCUCCUGAAGCAGAGAAGAGCUGCAUUUAGCCUGGAGUUUGCACCUUCCACCAUUUCCAGGGACAAAGCAAGAAACUGGUUUUCUCCCUGGGAGAAGUCAACCAAAGAGGCAUUAUGCAUGCAAGGAGGCUGGUGGGACUGUGUGAAUGCAAAUGGUCUUUGUUAUUAACCAGCUCUCUUCAAGCUGACUGAGGAGCUGAAUGGAUCUGUCGAUUAAAUCUCAUCCCUGCAAAAGACAGGAACAAAAUCACCACUGUAAUGUUUUGACAAAGCAAAAACAUUUUUGUUUUCUGGCAAGGGUUUAACUCGUGCAGCUAUGCUGCCCUCUUAGGAUGUCAGAGAAGGAGGUUUUCCUAGUCAAAUGCUGCCCUGCCUCACCAGUCUGCCUUACCCCAAUGAUGAAGUGCUCCGGCACCAGAAGUCACCUUCUGUGUUCAACUGAGCUCAACUGGAAUCGUGCUCUCUAGCUGUGCUGUUAAGUGGCUCUGAAGACAUUAUGGGUGUAGAGCUGUACUGCUGUAUUUCAAGUGAUAACAAAAACUCACUGGAUAGAUUGAAGAAGUGUGGCUUUUUGUUGCAGCAAGUUGAGACCAUAUAGGCAACUCCAUCAUUGUGCUAAGGCAGCAGAUACAGCCAGUGUUUGGAAGAAAUGGUUCAUGACCCGAUGAUGCUUUCCAAGAGAUACAGCCAGGAAACAAAGAUGCUGGGGGCUCCUCGGGUGGCAGGAACACUGGUGGAACAGGCGAGGGAAGCAGAAGGGUCAGAGACAAUGGGAGAGAGUGAAGAGAAAGAUGCAGUGCAAGCAGGAAAACCCUUUGCCAUGGUUCAGGCUUGCUCUCGCACUCAGAUCUGGGGAGCAAAAAGCAAUAGCUGCAGGAAAAGCCCUUUUCUGAAGACUGGCAGAGCAUGCCAGGAGGGUGCUGCAGCCACUGUCUCAGCAGCCAAAGUGAGGAGCAAUGCCACAAUCUGCAGGGGUCAAAUCUGAGAUCUGCAUUGAGAGUUUGGUCCAACGGGUCCCUAGAACAGGGGAACAUCCUCACCCCACAUGGGGGAUGUCACAAGCAUCGUCAGAUGCCAGACUGGAUGCUCACCACACAUGAAAGCUGAUUCCUAGCAAGAAAAUGUUGAUGGGCUAUUACUGAAGUAUUCCAGUCUCUGAGCAACUGGCCCUGGGAAUACUGUGAACACUGGUGCCUCCAGUGUGAAGCAUGACCUGUCCAGGGUAGAAGGCCAGGAUGCUCCCCCAGGGACCAGACCCUGAGGAAGGGCAGCUGUGAGGCUAAGGGGAGAAGCCGAGCUGGCCUUGCACAAAUUCUCUGGUGGUUCAGGCUGGCCAAGCUAAACAUGUCCCUUACCUUGGCGUUGUCAUGACUUUGACAGAAACACCUGGGACUUGUGUGGGUCAGAGCUGUCUCCUGGCUGACCCCACACAGGGCACUUGCUGCUACAGAAGGACUGUGCUGAGGGCAUGCAGACAUGGAGCCCACUGCUGGCAGGGCUUGGCCACCAUGCUCCCACCUGGCUGACUCACAUUGUGGAGCAGGUGGUCACGGCCACACUGGUGUGCACACACACAGAAACCCAGCACAGGUGGUGCAGACGUCACCCCUGCCAAGUACAGCGGUGGCCCUCACCUUCGGGAAGGGACCCCAGCAUGUGGCAAAUGAGCAUCAGGACCCUGCGCUCAGACACCACACACAUGUGCAGGGCAGUGCAGAGUGCCAGGCCCAGAAAACUGAACUUCAGGACCUCCAAGGGGGCACUUUUCUCCAGCUGAGGGUUUGUCCCCCUUCUCUUUGCAUCAGGUGAACCCACAUCAGCUGCACUUGUGCAAAGGAGCAAACACAUCUGAAUAACAGCAGUAUAAAGGUGUAACAAAUAAAGACUAAAAUGCUGCUAAUGAGCCUCAUUGACAACGGCUAUUAUUUGCAUCUAUCACUUGGAGAUUAAAAACCAAAAAAAAUGAAAUAAGCUGCAUGUGUUGUAAAGGGUCAGAGUUUCUGUGCUAACACCACAGCUUGCAGGGUUCUUUCCUGCUGUCCCUUGUGCCCCUCUUCCCUGCUGACCUGCUCCGUAUGGAGGGCUGUCCUGGGGAGCCGUGCUGGGGCCAUGGCUGCUCCCUGGAAGGAGGGGAGAGGGGUCAGAGGGGGUAACACCAAAGGGAGAGGAAGAGUGUGGAUUGGGAGAAGGGAGUAGGUGAUAAAAAAGCUCCUCAAGGUAGGGGCUGAUGCUGAUGUGCUGCUGUGGUGAGCUGCAGUGCAUGACAAGACUUGUCCCAUGUCAAGGGUAGAUCAGCUUUCCUUUGACUUGAGAGGGUGUUGGUGUGUGUAUUAGCUAAAUCCAGGAAACAGUCACUGCUGCACUGGGUCUGGUCAUGGACAGUUGUGGUAUCCUCUGCUGCCCUGUGAUUUGCAGUUUCUAUUUUAUUAUUUACAUGAAAUCGUGCUCUUGCUGUCUUCAGGGAAUUUCCCCUAAGUAAGCUUGCAGCAAAUUUCUCUUCCUUCAAAUCAUAAGCACAAACACCUUUGACAUAGUUUCUCUGCUGCUGGGGUCUCUGUGUUACUUACUUUGUCUAGGUCCUUUUUCAAGAAGUUAAUAAGCCUGGCACUGCAAGUCCACUGACUCUUAGCAGAAUAUUUCUUUCAUUCCUGAGAUCCCUUUCAUAUCCAGUUUUCAUAUUAGCACCCUUCAUUAGCAUCCAUCCAGCUUUUCUUGUUAGUAUUACUGUGCAAUGCAUUUUCUUUUGUAGUACCUGAAGCUUGUAAGACAACUCAGUUUGCCUCCCAGUGGGGGAGAAGGUAUCUGUAAUCCGUGUUCCUUGUCUUGAAUCUCUUGAAAGGACUAGAAAUCCCAAAUGCAGUAACUUGUGGGUUUUCUGUCUGAGAGAAUUAGGUUGUCUUUGCAUUACUGAGCAGGCAAACAUUGAGCAGUGCUUGAUCAAUAAGAGGCAUUGCCAGAGGUCUGGUAUAGUCUACCACAGCUGAUGGUAAGUGUUGCUAUAGGCUAUGGAAUUAGGAAUAUAAAAUGUCAAAUGACAGUAAUAAUUCAUGCAUCCUGGGACAUAUAAAACCAACAGCAUGUCAAUAGCUGCGGCAUGCUCUGCAGAAAAUAUGCAGGAUUUAGAUGUUGCAGGAGUGUGUUUUAUUUUCAGCCACACUUUUCUUGGUGAAAUAUAGACUUUCCCUGUUUGUUGAAAGCAUUUAUUUUCAGUUUCAUGUUGCUACUUCUCUAUUAAGAUUCUAAGAGCCAUGCAGCUCAAAAGGGGCCUUGAGAUUCAAAAAGCAAAAUAUAUGUAUUUAUUGAAGAAAAACACAUAAAAUAUUUAUAAAACGGAGGGUGCAAUACUAUUUGAGAUUCAUGGACCAUUUUAGCAUUCAUAAAAGCAAAUACGGUUCUCAUGUUGGCUUCACCUGGAAUCAGACUUUACUAGAGGGGUUAGCCAGGAGGGAUCUGCCUCAAAAUGAGACUUAUUACAAUCACUUUGCAUUUUACAUAGAAAGCAGAAUAACUUGUGAAAUAAGUAAGAACUUCUCCAAUAUUCAUCUUCUUAAAAAAAUACUUCGGGACAAUUAAUAUUGCUUGUCUGUUAUGAAAGAUACAGAAUAGGGCAAAUUACUGCAUCUGGGAGGGUACAGCAGGCAUAAGAAGAAAGAGUGUGUCAAUCUGAAACAUGUUCUCCCUGUGCUGUGGCUGCUUGGGAACCUAGAAGUGAUGGGUGCUCACUGACUAAGGCUCCCACAAAAAUUCAUCAGAGAAAACCUUAAUGAGAAAAGGGAAAAAAUAUGUCCAAGCAGCCCCAUUCUUAUACUUUCAGCUGUGUGCUUCCAUGCACCUUAGUUGUGGGUUGCCAGGCCUCCAUUUCUAUAAAUCUGCCUAAAAGUAGAAGGGCAAGACAGAGAAGUUGCAUAUCACUCAUGAUUAUAUGAAUAUAGGCCUUCAUAUGCAGGUAGUACUUCUAAAAGAAUGUAAAAUAUUAACUAAACAAAAAGGAGAAAAGGAAAAGCAUCACAAAGAAACCUACCACACAUUAUUGAAAUCUCCCCCUGUGAGAGGCUGAGGAUUCAAACGCGUGUGAAUCGUCUGCUCUUCCAUGUGACAGCAAUCCUUCUACUUCAGAGUUGCGCAGUCCUGGCUCUCAGUUGUCUACUUCAGAUUCUUUUUUUAGUUACAUAUUCUAAUAAAAUGUCUUAAAUAGAAUUUCCAUUAUUUGAAGACCACAAAGUGGUUUUAGUGCAGUGGACUGCACCUACAUACACAGGCACCAGUAGAUAUUUUGGCACAUCUUGCUGAAGAUAGCAUGAGACAGAGAUGAUGAUGAUGAAAAUAAAAAAAACCCAACAACCAAUCAAACUACAAUGAAAAGAAAACCCACAAAUUUAAGCCUGCUAACUGUCUGAGACCUAAGAAAAGGGAUUUCUUUGUUCUUAUGAGAACAUCUUGGCUCGUUCUGCUCCUCUGGCUUGGUUUGGGGAGGAUGUAUUUUACAGUCCUCCCAUGAUACUUGGCAAAUGUAAAGCUGUCACGUUGGAUCCUGCUUCUCUUUGUAUUAAAAGAAUGUCUAUGGUGUUUAUGUUAUGGGGGGGAAAGUGCUUUUUCUACUUACUGUAUUUUCAUUGUCUCUUUUCUUAUGACUGUACUGUUUGCCAGCAGCCAAGGGGCCACUUUGAUGCUUGCUUUGAUGCCAUAGUUUAUUGUGUUGCACAGUUGAGCCUGUGGUUUUCCUUUCUAAUCAGAGCUGGCAUACUGGGUGAAAAAAAAUAAAAAUAAAGCUUUUCUAUAAUUAUGGUUAUCUCAUAGAGUCUGCAUUUGUUAUAGCUGCUGGGACGCUGGAAAUCGGUAUUUGUAAAUACUGAUAUAUUCUGAUUUGUUUUCAAUCUCAAAGGUGUUUUUGUCUGUUUCUGCUUCUCACCCCUGGCCACUCAUGCAAGCAGGCUUGCUGACCUGCAUGCUGAGCAGCUAUUGCCUCAGGAAGAUACCAGCCUGCAUGUGUUAGCCGGGUUAUUUGCAUGGUACAACCUUCAUCUUGUUCCCUCUUCUCACUCUAAGGGAUUAGCAUCCAAAGAAAACCAAAUUAAUCUUGUAUCAGUUCAUCCAGGAAAGUGAGUAGGCAAAAUAACCAGAAUAUUGCUGCUGACAGCAGGGACAGAGAGCAGCCCUCCAGGGUUGGGGUGUGCUGUGUGCUGCCCACCUCCACUGCACUGCUCUCACAGGUACAUGGCUUCACCAUGGGUUCUGGUAUAACAAGACUCUCUUGGGCCCACAGAAAGACUCACAUGCUGGUUGCUUCUUUGCCCCAUGCUCCAUGUGGUAGUGCCAGUCAGGACUUGCAUAAUACCCACUUGGAUGUAUCUAUUGCUUUUCUCCAUAUGUCUCGUGACUAUCUGUGGACUGCUGAGGAACCACUCUGUUUCCAUUUUAGUGAUGGAAAAGGAAAGACUUUGAGAGGCUGAGUGAUUUGUCCAGGAUGAUACAGCAAAUCAGCGGGAGAAAAAAGGAUCGGGCCAUUCCACAUAGGAGUGCCAUUAACUGCCCCAUGGGCUUCCUGGGGAAGGCAUGCAGGUCCCCAAAGAGGCCACUUCCUUUGCAGAAGCGUUCCUCCAUUAUUUCUGUCAGAUUAUUGCUAUGCACAGUGGAGAAAUGCAAAAUGUAUUAUUCAUCUCUCCUACUCAUAAAAUCAAUACCUAUCAAAAUACAAAUACAAUUUAAAUCAAAGGGCACUUGUUGAGUGCAGAUCCUACUAAUUAGGUAUGAUUUUCCAACAAUUUCUUAAAUUAUUUAUCCAAGGGAUGGGUAGCAGGCAUUUUAUAUGUCCCAGACUGAAUAUUAUAAACCUCUUGUCAUGAUACAGCAAAUGGGAAACGUAGUGCGAUGCAGUGUGAUUUGUAACCUUGAUGAACUAAUGUAAUAUCAAUAGACAUCAAUCGUGCAAAAAAGAUCUGUCUCAUCAUAACAUCUAGCAAGAUAGGUCAAAAGUCAAUAAUCUUGUGAAAUGGACACAUAUCAGUGAAGGUUACAGAUUGUGCUGCUAGGAAUCAAUUAAAAAUGUAACACCCGCCUGCUAUGGAAAUUACUAAACGCCACCACCAAAAAGGAGGUUUACAUCAUGCAUGAACAUUCGCCAUAAGAGCAGCUCCCUUCAGGCAGGCUGUAGCUCUGUAAGCAAUUCCACUGUAAUAUAGGGCCUUUUUUUUUAUGCUGGUAUUGCUUAAUACCUAGCAAUAUCUAGCCCCAUAAUCAACAUGCAAACAAUAUUUAACUACAUUUUUAAAACCUGCACAGAAAAGAGCCAAUGGUUUUGAAGAUUUUUAUGUACAAAUUUGGAAGCAGCUCUCCUGUAAAAUGAAAGGUUUAUAAUUGUCAGUCAAUAACGUAGAUCAAUGUUCUUCAAUUUUUAAUCAUAAUGAUUUUUCUUAUGCAGCUGCAUUGGAUCUUAAUUUUCAUACUUAUACUUCCAUCCAUGCAGCAGAUCUUAAGAUUCCAUCACACCAGCAUGCAUCAAGUGAAAAUUCUUGGUCCCAUGAAAUAGACGUGAUAUCCUCUCACCAAAUCAUUUCAAAUCAGCGAUUCGAAAGAACAGUAUAAAAUACAAGAUAUGGUUUCUCCCCAAUUUUUAAAAGAGAAUGAUAAAAUUUACACUUUCUAAGCAUUUUACUUUUCCUCUUGUCAUCCGAUGAUAAUUUAAAGUGUAGCUUUGAGGCCAAAACUAAAUAGUUGAACAUGGAGGGAGGUGCUAUGACUUCAAAGACAGCAAUAUGUGAGGGGCUGAAGUAAAACCAUCAGAGUAAUUCAGAGCUUAAACUUUUAACUUGGUGCUUUCCCCUGUAGCCUUAAUGGAGAUCAGGCCCCCAAAAAAGCCAUCAAAAGCCGGAGCAAAAAGCUGCAGUGGUCCAAAGUGCCUGUGUGCUUCAGCUGCUGCAGGCAGCCUGUGAUCAUACCGCACUGUCGGCAGUACGCAACUGCAAUUGUGCAACCAGGGAUGCAAGGCAGAGCUGUAAUUCCAAAUUUCAUGGCACUUUAAAGCACGAGUCAGAAUUUUAAUGGUAUUUCAACCUUCCUUAUUAGUUGCACAAUAAGUGUCUUUCAGCCAGUGCUCUGCAAAUCCCUUCCUGGUGGUCUGCAAAAGACACAGUUUGAAAGUCAGAGCGUUGGAGGUUGAAUGCUGGGUGUGUGGAAAUAGAUCAGCCUGAGCUGAUGGGAGGAAUAAGGGAUUCUGAAGAAGCAUUGAGUUAAGAUAACAUCGGAUAAUAAGGGUAGUAGCAAAAAGUAUAAAAAAGCAUGCCAUGAAUACAUUGAAUAUACAGGACAAAUUCGCCGUCAAUUAUUCAGCUGUCCUGCUUGUAUUUUUGUUGUUUUUUAAUUAGCAACAGUUUGUCUGGCAGAGUUCAAUCUCAGAGUGUUUGAGUUAUAAGACCUAGCUGCAUCAAAUGAAAAUAGACAAUACUACAUUUAAUGUUUUUCAUUUUCUCAUUCCAUUUAAAUGUGAAUGAGCUAUCAGGAAGGAGUAUCAAACAUGCAGAUACUGUUUAGUGGUAUAUUAUUCUUAUCUUCAUUAUUUUCUUUUGCCUAAUGUCUUUCAUAGAUGCUUAAAAAGUGCAUGAUGUAUAUGUGAUUGUAUAUUAGUGACUGCAAAGGUUACCUAAAUUAACAACAUGGACUAAUUUUGUUUUAAAUGGAGGGUAAGAGCACAUCUGUUUCAAACAGCUUUGUAAUAUGCCUUUUGUGAGUUCAGAUCAGAUACAGCAGUGGCCACUUAAGUGAGCUCCUACACACACAACUACUUAUUUGCAUUAGUGCUAAAAAAUACAUCUAUAAAAUGACACUAGCAUUUUGGUGCACUGAAAUAGGUUCCUCCUCUCCAUUCCCCUUGAAGAUUCAGCCCUGUGUUAUUGUUUCAUGGAUACUAAAGAAAAGCAUAUGUUCUUCCCCAUGGAGGAUGUUAUUCACUGUAUAACUGUACUGGCUAGAUAUUUUGUAUUUUGCUUGCAUGCCCCUUCAAAAGAGGCGUGACAUUUUUUCAUAGCUAUAAAUAACACUGUUCUUCAGCCAUGAAUUGUUAUAAUUAUAUAACAUUAUGAAUAUAAUUGAGAUAAUAAAAGCAAAACAAGCAGUCUAGAUUAUAUAUCCGGAUUGUAUUCACAGGUUACAAGUGUGUGGUUUUGCUGUAUAUCACAUUGAUUUAGGAAGGGUAUAGUUUGGAAAUGAUCUUGAAAGACACCAGCUGAGGGGCUAUACCUUAUAUAUGAGCCUACAUCAAAUACCUCACUGAAAUAGGGCAAUAUGCCUUUUUCCACAGAUGUGCUUUUCAAAGAUAAAGGUAUGUACAGCCCGCAGAUAUCUGCAGUGGGCAAACUGAAAGUAAACAAAUAGAAAUGUGUUUAUUUGACAAUUUUCUAAUGUAAAUGUUUUUGUCUUAAACUGCAGAAGGAUCAAAAAAAAGCUUUGCAGAAUAGCUUCUCCAUCAUGUAGCUAGGGUGGCAAAGGACUGCAGCAGUGCUGCCUUGGCCUCUGUUGAGGUGAAAUCCAUACUACACCUGUCAUGUGAAACUGGAAAAUGCAAUUAUAUUUGUUUUUCAAAGAGAAAGCUAAGACCUGGACAGAAACCACAGGUCUUCUCUGCAUACAUAAGGGAACUCUGUAAAAGCUGAGGGGUUGAAGAAAGCUGUGUGUAGGCCUUGGCUAAUGCCAUAAACCAUUAGACCAUCCUCACAAAAUCUGUGUUUUCAACUCUGUUGCCACUGAAAUCUGAAAGCAAACAUUAGCAGCCAAGAACAUCAUGCUAAUUAAUUGCCUCAGGAGGACACAAUUCUCAAGAUCUAAUGAAAGAUGGAAUCCAGCUCCCAUAUGUCCCAUUUGAUAGCUCAAGAAAACAUGCCCACAUUUUUCACAGAAACAGUGACAAAUGUCCAACUACUUGUCUCUAAGCUGAAUAUAACUAAUUACCAGGUCCAGAGAUGAAAAUGGCUGCUCAUCAGUACUGAGCCUGAAACGCCAGCCCCGGAUCUGUCACUGAUGAACCGUUUUGAUUCAGAGUGUUGAAGGCAUCUUCAGGAGGUGAGAGCUGAGCACCAGAGCACCUCUGUUCUGUCCGCAGAACAGCAUUACCUCUGUCUUGCAUGCAGCUACCCUGUCACAUUGCUGGUUUAUUAAAAAUCAAAAACAAAAACAAAAACAAACAAAAAAGCUAGCAGGAUGUCAUGUUCUUGACAAAAUACUGGGGAGAAGACAGAGGUAUCAAUAUAGAUGUAAUCACAGAUAUGUGCUGGGGCUGCUUUGCUGUACUAUAGGCUUGUUCUUGCUUGAACUUGAAAUUCCUUCAGAUGGGAUGUUUAUUCCAGAAUGACAGUGGUGUGUAGCCCCAGGGAAACAACAAGGGCCGGAGAGCCUCGGCACUCCCUGGAGAGGCAGGCCUGUCUGUCUGUGGAAGCAGAGCCCUGUUUUGAAUGGGGGUGUCCUACCUCCAUGUGGCUCUAAGGCAUAUGGAAUUGUUCAGCUGGCUUAAAGAUAUGAUGUUUCUUUUCAGUAUUUAUUGUUCGAAGGAUCCUUACAUGCACGAGAACAUCUUGUACUCUGUAAAGACCGGCAUGCUGCUGUGGCUGUACCCAUGGCUUGCUGUGUUCAGAGAGACACAGGUGUCAUCUCCAUGCAGGGGAAGAUAGUCCUGCUUUGCUGGUGUGAGGUGUUUAGUGCAAUUCCCAGGUUUGUUUGAAUAAAGUUGAAUAAUCGGCUUGUUGUAGCAGACCCAACCCCACCACGUGAACAUCAUUUGCAUGUCACAACAACAGUCCCAAUCCAGCUCCCUUGCUCAGAGGAUGUAGGGAACACUGGGAGCCUCAGUGGAAACAGGGAAACAACAGGGUAAUGAGCAGGACUGUGACAGACCUUGGUGUUCAAUCCUGGUCUUUUGAGCCUCCCCUUAUCCACAUCAUUAGUAUUUGUUAAGUGGUCAAUUUUUGGAAACAUGCAACAUUUUCACUUUCCUCUUUUCCCUUUUAAAUAUGAUGCAUGUAAAACUGCUAAUAUGAAAAGAGUAUUUCAACACCUUGUUUAGUAAAAAUGGGCUCAAGGAAAGCAGGUACAAAUUGCACAGCAAAUUUUCAGCCUAAAUAUUAAAGAAAAUAUAUUUUAUUCUUGUCUAUCUGGAGAUUAAAGAGCAAGAAAAAAAAUAGGGAGGUCAAGAUAAGUAAUUGUAGCACACCAUCUAUUGUGUAUUUCCUCAAGAUCUUUCCAGUCACACAGAAUAAUGGCAUUUCUGAACUUCAAUAACUUCCACGCAAAAAGGUACAUCAUUUUGACAGGACUCAGUAAAUCAUUUAAAAUCAUAAGGGCUACCAUUAUGCAGACUGUGUGAUAAAGUUAGAGACAGGGUAUUUUUCUGCAAUUGGUCUUCAAUUUCACUCUAGAUUUUCGGUGACAUAAAGCUCAAAAGGAGCUCCUGGUACUACUCUCCCAGAGAUGAGAUCAACACUUAUGAGUACAUGUUUUGAUGACACAGCUCAGAAAAUUGAAGAGAUUAUUGUUAUGGAAGGACCAAGGUGAUAAGUACUGUGUUAUAUAUGAAUAACUGUCAGUCAGACAAGCCAAGAAAGGUCAUAAUCCAUUAUAUUAAUGUCAUAAAUGUUACCAUAAACUGAUAUUGGGAUGGUAAACUGGGAUUCUUGCACUUUUUAAAGUGUUGCUGUUCUUAAAUGAUACUGUGUCCUGGAAAGACAAGUUGAGUAUUAAUUUUUCUCUCAAAAUACAGGACUUUAAAGAUUUUCAGCAUAACAGAAGUAGUAUUUCAAACAUUCAUAUUUUAUUUUAAAGAAACUGGCUGAAAUGUCACAACAGUAUGCAAGAUACCAUGAACAGGUAAGGGAGGAGAAACCAGCAACACAAUAAUUUCUAUUUACUGUCCCCCAUUGCUUUAUUUGAACUGUGGCUUUCACACCUGCCUCCCUCAGGCACUUCCAGGCCUCUUGCCUACAUACUGGGGUCUACUCCAGCUGAGGACAGGGGCAGCAGCAAGGCAGAGGUGGGAGCUCCUACCCUGGCUACUGACCACCUGUAGCCAGGACACUGCACUCUUCUGCAAAUCACUCCUCUGACAUUAAUAUUUUUUCCAAUAUCAAAUAUGAACUGAGGUGAUAUUCAGGAAUGUAUGACAGUGGAAUGAGAGAGUGUAAAUCAUAUUUUAUAUCUUUUGUGUUGCUGAGCAUUUUCCCACCCACAGAGAGCAGGCAGCUCACCAGUCACCAGUGCACGGCUCCUCUGAAUUCAUCCCAGGCUCCCAGAGGAGUAUCACUGGGGACAGAGAAAGCAGCCUACUCUCUAAUGAGACUUUCUUCUUGCCAGCACCACUGGGUGCUCCAUCCUUUGCUGACCAGUUAAGAGCCAGGAGGAAAUUAUUGUCACCUCAUGUAAAUCUGCUCAUAGCAUAGACUCCCAAGUGAGAGUAAGGGAGAUAAACUCUGAGCCCAUCCAAAAUCAAAGCCUUGUGUCCACAUUCACUAGAGCUACAAAUUCUACAAAUGAGUGGUAUCACCCUGAAAUGUGGGUGCAUUGGAGGUAAAACAACUACCUAGGUAUAGCACUGGACCACUUAGUUUUCAGUGUUGGGGGGAAUGGAAAUGCAAGAGGAAUUUAAGGUGAGUUUUCCCAUCCCAUGCAGAGGCCAAAAGAGAAAAGCAGGGUAAGUACUUCUGGAAAGUGCCAUGCUGUAUUUACUGGCCACAUCAGAUCAGAGAGAUAGUUUUAUGUCAGACUUAAAAUGCAACAUGUCCAGCAGACUCAUGCUGAUGUAUGGUUGUGAUUACAUUGACGUAGGCAGGAGACAGCCACCAGUGAGUCACCACACCACUUCCUCCAGAAGCUGGCUGUCUACAGUAGGCACCCCAUUGCACUGCUGAUCUAGUCUGGCUCAUACAGUCUACAAAUAAGCCGUGUUUGUGCUAUGCAGGUAAAUGUUCAGGGUGAAACCAAUAUGGGCUAACUUGAAUUGUAUAAAUAACUGCAAAUCAUUACCUCAAAUGAGAGCAUAAUGCCUGGAACCACAGGCAGGAAAAUACAUUUACAGACUAUCAAAUUACCUUGGGAUAAUAGUGUAAUGCUUUUCACUGCUGCACUCUAUGUUCUUAUAGCUGAACAAAUAAUAUUACACUUGGAAAAGUCUCUGAAUUUCAAAGGGAAGAGAUUUCGUAAGCAGACUGGUUCCAAAGGAGAGACUGCCUUUUCUGUGUUAUUUUAGGGGAACAUUAGAAAAACCCCAACAAACCAAAUAAGUUAUUUUUUAUUACUCAAAGCUACAUAGAGUAACAUCUGAUGAUAAACAAAACCUUUAGACGAUUUGUCUUUUUUAUAAUAUAACCUGCAAAGUGCUUCCUUGUUCAUAUGAGGUUACUUCUCUCUGUGAUUGCAACAAAACUCUUUUGAUCAAAUGUGUUUUCAGAACUGGCAAAACAAAAUCAAGCUGCUAUAGCAGUUUGCAUGCACAAGUUCUGUUUGAAUAUAAAAAAUUUUGAGGACAUUUUUAGAGAAAAAAAAGUGGCCUUUGAAAUUUUGGAACUAAAACUAUAUAUGUAUAUGCCAUAGUGGUAUUUAUGAUGUCUGUAGAAGUAUAUGACACCCAAAGUGCUUUUUGGAUGCUCCAAGGUAUAUCAAAGAGCAUUAACUCCAGCACAGCUGGGAAUGUUCCCAGAUUCACUUAUGAACGCAUAUUUCUUAUAUCCUGUAUGUAGACUAUAGUUAACAUACAGAAAAAAGUUAAUAUAGCCUUGGUCAUGGAGAAUAAUCCACAGAGUAAGCCUAUUAGGUGAGUUUUAGCAUCUGCAUUUUUCUGUUCACAUCCGCUUGCCUGACAUAUGUAAUCUGCCUGGAUGUCACAGUUUACAUCCUAUUUUCAUUGGAGGAUAAUGGAACUUGAUCAGUGUCUUCAUCUCCUUCUUGGUCUCUCCAAGGAAUAUUUCUGCUUGUCAGCUCCUCUUCACCAACACUCUCUGGUGAGAGUGAUCCUUAGCCAGUCCUUUAUUAAAGGUAGUGCAUCCAAGGCUUGAAGGAAACCAUACAAUUUCUCAUUGUUUGUGCAAAAUGGGUGCAAAACAUGUUACUUCUAACACAGUAAGAAAAUAAGAAGUGAUAUAGUAAUUUCCUAACUUGAAUUUUCUGUACUUCCUUUUCUCUCACAAAGCUCUGGCGUAUCACUGUUUUAGCAGCACUCAGUCAGUGGUUGCUUUCUGAUGACUUAUUUUUCUGCUUAAGUCUUACAAAACUGCACUGUAGGCACCUCCGUAAUUUUAGAAUAGCUUAGUCUGAGAGGUAAAUUAAAAUUAUGGAAAAUCAGACCAUUUCUAAUGAGAUGGUUAUUACACUGAAUAAUGAUGAUUAUUAGUUCUGCUUAAUAAAACUGUCAUCCAAUGCAAAAUAUAUAUUAGGGGAAAUUACAUUACAUUAUAUUUCUAUCAACUCAGAAAUUCGGUGUGUUGCUUUCCCACAAACCAUGGGCAUAAUGAAAUGUUAGACAGGGCUUCCUUUUCCAAAUAGGAUCAAUCAUGAAGCUUUCAGAAACAGCCCUUUAAAGCCCUGAUCUAAAGCCCAUUAAUCUAAUGUUAUGAAGAUUUCUGCUGACUUCUGUGCCAUGUAGAUCAGGGCUUCACUAAAAUGAGCAGUGUUCUCUCCCAUUGUUUCUUCUAAAUACCUAGACAAUACUACAGUGGUGACUAUUUGACAGUAUUGUUAGCCUACCAAAGGAGAAAAACUUGUAGACACACAUUUGUAUCCCCCUUGCCUCACUGAGCUCAUUGCUUGCUGGCACACCUGCUGUUCUGUUCUGAUGUACCUGGCAAAUUAGGAGAUGGACUCUAUAGGAUGAGCUACACUCUUUAUUUCCAAGGUGAAAACAGCGAGAAAUAUUAUCUAUUGGCUAAAAAUGAGAUUCUGCUGUAAAAACCUCAACACUGAAGCCCCAGACACUUAGAGGUGAGGCAACUCCCCAGAAGCCUUUUGGCUGUCCAGAGACAUGACUGACCAGGAAAUCUGAGUGCUUAGCAUUUUUUUGUUUAAAAGCAGGCACAAUAUCAAACCUUGACUUCAGCAAGGACUGUUGUCCUGAGGAAUGAAACCCAUCCCUCUGGGAGGGUGGCUCCCUGCCUCUAUACUGCCACAUCUAUAUGGCAGUAAACUGCCAAAGGGGAAGGAAGGAAGAGUGCGUUUCUGCUACCACACCUUCUCUGUGUAGGGUUUAAUCUAAAAGGAUAUGUUUUUGUGGAAUAAUUUGAUAUAAACUAAGCCACAUUUUUCUUACAGAAAGGUGUCUAUUAUAGCUAAAACAGUGUAUUUUAUAGAGCGUGAGAGAUUAAAUAAGCAGCAAAAACUGCGUGACUCAAUAUGCAUCUAUGCAAACUGACCCAGUGAAACCAGGGCACAGAGGUGAUUGGGUCUAUCCGUGGUGCAUGUUGAGAAUCUGGAGAAACACAGAUUUUGCCAUAUAAUUUUAUUUUUUGACAGCAGUAUUGCUCUUACAAAGAGCAAUGUAAUAAAUGAGGAUAACAUGGUUAAUAAGUCACAAGCACAUGUGGUUCUAAGGUUUUCAUCAUGCUUUGAAACAUUUACUAAUCAACAAGAUUUCUCCUCUUGUGAAGCCUGUUUUGUAGAGUUCCAUAAACCAGGUUCAACAGACACAAUUUCAUUAGCAUUAUAUUGUUGCCAUGGUAAUGUGGUACCAAUUCAAUUGAUGGGCUUUUCAUCCUGGGCUUAUUAUAGAAUUGCUCUUCCUGUCAAAGAUACAUCUAUAUGGAAACAGCAAACAGACCUUAUUAUUGGAGUACUAGCACAAAAUAUCAUCAUAUGCUAAUUUGGAUAGGAAUGCAUCAUGUUAUUGGCACCAGACCCAGAAAUCAUCAGAGACACGAUAAAAGUUACUAAAUAUCAUACAUGGCAAAGUCACACUCCAAAUCAGGAAAGUUACUUGUAUUGUUCGCUGUAGUACCUGAGUUUGCUAUUGCAAAAGCACUUGGCUCUGCUGUAAUCAUUCUCUGAAAAGCUGUUGGGAGGGCACAGUGCAAGUGGUAAUAUUAGAGGAAACAAAAGUAGUAACAUGCCCAAGAAUAAAAUGUGAGCUGAUGGUAUGUUGGUCCUUCUCCUGUUUGAACGUUGUGCAGCAUGUUUUGGGGAAACUGGUACCACGUGCAACACCCUGUUUUCCUGGGCUGUAAAACCAUGAUAAUAAACUCUUUCCCCCUGUGCAGAGCACCUGGUGUAUACCAAAUAAUGAGUGAUAGCUGGUACUGUUAAAUAUUGUUAUUAAGUAAAGUAGAAAUGUUUUUAACAGCUCUGGGAAAAUACACUGUACAGAUCUACAGUUUGAGAAAUGCCACAGGGAGAAUCUGGACUCUCCCAGGGAAACACAGGAGAGUUGGCAGACUGAGCAGGUAACGGUGCAUAUGUACCUGUGAAGGAAAGAUACUCACAUCAUUAAAAAAGCAAGACAGUUUGUAGUUUUUUAAAAAUAAAGAAUAUUUUAGGCUACAGGAGAAGUAUCUGCAGCAAUCUGAGCAAGAAGAGCAACAAUACAAUAUAAGGCAACAGCAGGGUGGCUUGUUUAUUGCAUGUUAAAACAUUUUGUUGUGUAUUUUCACUGUUUUUUGAUGAUUGCUUCCUAUUUAGAUAGGAAAAAUCUUUUUCCAUCCUGACACAUAAUGUUCAGUCUAUCAUUUCUUAGCUUAAUCAUGUUGUGUCCUUUGCAGCAGCAAGAGUAAAUUACAGACAGGAUAGUAUUCGGUAUAAUCAAAGAUGUGUUCCAUUUUACAUGAUAAGUUUUGUCUGAUUUACAAAGGCGGUAUCUUCUCCAGCUGAGCGAGGAAAGAGAGACCUUCACUUGCAGAUAAAAAAACUCAGAGAAGAGGCUUUUCCUCCAUUAGGAAUCUAUUGUUCAUGCAAAGAAAACUCAAACUAUUGUUACCACUGUUAUCUAUUUAUUUACUUUUACCGUGAUAUAGCCACAGGACCCAGCUGAGACUGGGACCUACUUGUGCUAAGCACAGCAAAACCAUACAGUGCCACAGCCCCUUCUUCAGACAAUUUAUAAACUAAAGAGCCAUAAGAGAGACCAGAGAAGAUAGAAUAGAGAGAAGGAGACAUAGCUUAAGUAACUGACUGAAGGUCAGAGAAGAAGUGAGUGGCAGAAGCAGCACAAGUCUCCAGUCCCUGUACCCUCCAUUGGGUUGCCUGCCCUGUUGGGAGAAGGAGGUAUUUGGAGAUAUCCUCCACCAGAUUCUAAGGAUUCACACUCUAACUCAUGCACAGAGCCAUGCUUUACCCCCUAAUUUCAAUGGCUGCAUCUGUGUUGCUGAGCAGGGGCAGCCUGAGGCAAAGCUUGAAGUCUGCUGUGAAGCCCACCCGUAUUACCUAUUAAAACACCUUCAGGCUGGCUCCAGGGCAACCCUGUUAAUCCUCUCAGGGACAAAGGCUCAGGGAUACCCUGUGUUUUUUAAGCAUGUUCAAGGGCACCAGGGUCAGGGUACCUGCCAGAGAAAUAUUAAUGGGUUUCAACACCACAACCGAAGAAAUAGGGAUCAGGCUUUCUUCCUCUGCGGUAGGGACUUUCAAAUCCAAGCCUGAACAGAUGGAGGGAGGCGGGGGAAAGAGAAGAGAUUUUGGUCAUGAGAGCAAGAAAUCAGUUUGUACCAGAAUUUGAAAGCUUUGAUCAGGAAGCAAUGUGAUGUCUUAGAUUAGGAAAGCAUUGGCUUGGAGUUUUUCUUCCUUUCUCCUUCUCUCUCUCCCCCUCUCAAAAAUCCAUAUAAUGUAAAACCGUUAAACUCUGGGUGAAGAGGCAUUCAUCUUCUGAUCGGUAAAUACUUCCUUUCACUGUAUGGUGCCUGCUGACUUUACUGCUGUUGCAGCCUUUUAAAAUGCUUCCAGGAAAUCUCAUUAGAUUUUAACUUUAAUUUUUUUUCAUUAAGGAAUCUGAAGAGAGUGUAUAAUAAUCUCAAUUUAACUUUUUAAUAAAAACUGCAAAUAAUAGGCUAGCAUAGAUUUGAUAUCAUAUAUAUAUUGGAUAAAAAUUCUGAUUUGUAGUAAGAUUUGUUAGCCAGGGGUUUGUUGUCAUCAUAAUAAUGAAUAUAAAAGCUGGCAGCUUUAAAAUGGCAAUAUUACAGUAAGCCUACAUUUUUUAUAAUGGCUUUGUGUUGUGCAUUCAGUAUUGAUGAAGACUAAGAUUUAGCACGCAGAAGUAAUAUCCAUUAUUAUGGGAUUGUCCACAGUGAAUUGAGUAGGACAUUUGCUUAAUUAAAAGUAUUUAUCUUAGAUGAUUUAAGAAGUAUGUCCUACUACUGAACUGAUGAUGUAAAUUAGUUUCCUAUAAUCAGUUCACCACUGAUGACUCCUUAUACUAAAGAGAAGAAGAAAAAGGUAAGAGAAUAGUCAAAGGAAAGUAAAAGAUGCCACUGUCUGAGAAUUUAAUAGAACUUUUGAAAUAAUGAUUAACACUAUGCCAUGAGCAGGAAAUCUACAUUAUUACACCCCUAAUGCAAAGAAUGUAAACAGAGCCCUGAAAGGGUGCACUUCUAGCAGAAAGUUUGGAAAUAAAAACAUAAAUGAACGCCCAGAUUCCCACUCCUACCCACUGGACCUGUGCCUCAGAGGCACCGGGGGCAUUUGGGGACCAGAGCUUGAGGAUAAGAGGUGGUAGAGAGCCUGGGGUGGGAUGAAGCCCUGUGGCAUGGUGUCUUGUGGGGUCUUGGCAGGGGCUGUCCCUGGCUUUGGGCAGGAUGCCAGGGAGCCGAACUACUGCAGCUGCCGAAUUUGGGCAGAGUGGAGAGCAAGGCCAGAGCUACAGGGAGGGCAGGAACUGGUGUGACCUGCUUCUAUGGGUGGUUUUAAAUCUGUUUAUAAAACAUACUGGGUAUUUUUAUAAAAAUAUACUGUGUGAUUUAAUCUGUUAUGCAAACACACUUUUAAAGGAGAGUCCCAAUGGGUGGAAUGUUUCAACCUAUCUCAAUGUUACAGCUGUACAGCCUAAGUUUUGUGGACUAGCCCAUCUUCCUGCCUUCCUUCCUCACCAUGCCAAAUCACCCAUGGAAAGCUGUAGAUCUUCAGUCUGUGGGGACAAUCUAACAACAGCAACUUCUGGGGGUGCUGCUACAAGGGUGCUGCUACCACAUCUAACCCCGUCAAACCAUCCCAUCAGCUCAGGUAUGCUGCUCACAUGAAAAGCUCAUGACUCCCACUGCAGAGACCUACUUGUCUGCUUCUUGGGAAACCUCCUGCCUACAAGGCUGCCCCCUGAGACAACUAGACCCUCCAUCAGCCAGGCCCAAAAAUCACUUGCUGAAUAGUUUUGGCUGAGGUUUUUUGACAAAAUCUUCACAGAUAGAGCCAAGAGGACAGGCAAGAAAUAUUUCUAUUCUUCAUGCCACAACUUGUUUUUUCAUUAUUUCUUCUUGUCUCCUUUUACACUCCAGGCAUUUUUUCUUUCUCCAUAGGCUAAUAGGAAGAAAGGCUGUGCCCUACUCCAGUCAUUUAAUUUAAGUAAUUUUUUUUAGUUCUAAUUAUAAGCAUUCACAUAGCAAGUGACAUUUAUUGAUAUAUGUUACCUUUCUGAAACACUAGAAAAGUAUCUAGCCUGUUCUCUGCUAAUGCUUAGAUGACAUUUUAGGAACAGGAACCACCCUGCAAAGGGCCGGGCAUGUGCACAGGACAGGAGCUGUCAGUGAAGUGUGUUGAAUCUGUUUUUGAUCUGUUCAUGUCAUUUUCCAGGUAAGCCUUGGACUCUGCCUAUGGUCUGUGCUCCCAGAUGUCAGCCCACAACGGCAGAUGGAGGGACACCCGGAGCUCUGCUUCUCCCAGGCACUGCACUGGGCAUUUGCUGCUCCCAGAGCUGCCACACGCCAUGGGACCCCCAGCUGCCGGAUGCCUGACCCAGCUUGACUGCUGGUGGAGAUGUGUUGGGGCUGGCUUUGCCCUGCUUGCUGCUGCCUGCAUGCCUUGUUCUUCUGACUUAUGCCCCAGCCCAUUCCCAUCCCAUUGUGCUGCUGCCUCUGGGCUGUACUGAGUUUUCAAUUAUCACAAUAUACAAUGCAGAUGCUAUGUAAAACAGCCAGCGUCGCUGGAGCACGCUGAACUCAGUAGAAACACAGUUAAAUAAAAGUAAUACUAUAAUACCAGGAGGCUGAUUGGAACCACAAGAUACCAGUGUCAUAUCCUGUGGCUUUUAUGUUGGUAGACGUAGAUUUUAGCCAUUAGAGUCUAGCUAUCCAACAGAUAACAACCAGAGGAAAUGGGUCUGGGUAUCUUCAAUUGUGAAUAACUGAUACACAUCUGCCAAUAAAUGGAGGACUUGGUAAACUGCCAGAUGAAGAAAACAUUUUACAUACACACAAAUAUAAUCAGGCAUUUAAUAUGGUGUAGCAUCUAACUAUGUGUAACUUAAAGAAACUCCCUGAUUACACACAAUUCCUUCAAAGUGGUACAUCAAGAGAGCUCUGACUUCAGACAAGCAACGUGUGGUUGCACUGUCAACUCCAAAUUCAGGCAAGGAGAUAAACAGCAAGUGUGGAUCUCAACUUACAUAUUUGUACCAGCAGCAACAACCUCCCAGAUGACAAUGAUAUUGUAAUAUCUAUGUGGGUGUAAAAUGCUAUGACAAAAGAGGAAGAAAUAAGAAAAAAUACAGUAAUGUCAAGUUUGCCUGUUAACUUUUACAGAAGCUCAGCAUCUGGAAUUUUAGUAUGUGUUAUGCAGACAAAUGUAAAGAGAGAAACACAUCAACUGUGUUUUCUCCAAAGCAAAAUGAAAUAAGCAUACGGAGCAAAUUAUUAUAUUUAGUACUCUCAGGGCAAAUUCUAGUUGAGGAUUGUGAAGUAAUUUCAAAAUAUUAAUGAAUUAGCCUCUCAGCUAUCUUUCAGGUAGAAAAUAAUGAUAAUUAUUACUACAAAUAAAUAUUAUUAUUAUCAGUCUUGCUCCAAGAAAUGAACAUUGAUGCAUAGAGAAUUUAUGUCUUUGUCCAAAGUCUGUGUUUUACUACCGUAACCAUCCUUCUCUAGAACUAUUAUAUAUUAAGAUUAUCCUUUUCCAAAUACUGUGUGUGAUACUAUUCACUUUAUAAGGUCUAAAAACCAGCCAACUGAGCUUCCUUGUGAAACAGUGCCAGUGAACAUCUCCAUUUGCAUUUGAAUUCUCAAGCAGCAACAAUCUUUCUUUUAAAAAAAAAAAGAAGAAAAAAGGAAUCAUGAAAAUCUGUACAAAAUCUGUCAAGGCCCCAUCUGUGACUGGGUAUCAGAAUAUCACUAAGAAGCUCUGAGAAACAAAGUUCAUUCCAAGUCUAACACAUAGUGCUUUUCGGUCGAUGAAAUUAAUUCAAGCGGGGGUAAAUGAGGGCACAUACCAUGAAAUACUGUUCCUCCACUGAGGGUGGAAGGAAAGCAGCAUCACUGCUGUGUGUGUGGUCUUGGUUUUGGUGCAUGUAGCCAUGUUUAAACACUAAAGGUUUUACAAGGCAAAAUAAUCAGUGUGCUCAUGACUCCUUUUGAUAGCCAGGUACACCUGCUGCUCUUCUGAGGAGUAUAAGGGAAUCUGGUCCUGACAAGAUGAGAACUUAGAUUACAUAUGAUUGUUGCAAAAAGCAGGCUUUCAUAGCCAGCUACCUGAAGAAGUACAGAAACAAAACUCCACCCUGGCCUUGAAAAUCGCCUACAAACAUAUUUAUUUCCUUCUGAAUGGGAAUAUAUAAAGGUUAGGGACACUUAUUUGUAGCCUAUUUAUACAUCUCCUCUUCAGGAUCUGAAUCUCGCAUAUUAAUGAAUUAACUCCAGGAAACAGGAGAACCAAAACAUUAACACCAUUCUAACGCACCCUAUUAUUUUUCUUUUCCUUUUUUCAAACUGUUAGAGUAUGCAAAUGUUCAGUUAACUGGUCCUCAUGUUUUCUCUUUAUUGAAUCGCUUUCACUACAGCAAAUAAAUAUUCAUAAAGAAAUGUGGACAAUAAAUCAUUUCAAAUAGUUCAAAGCCAUUUUCUUUCUAGACUGCAUAUAUUUUCAGCUGUAACUCGCCUUCAAUAUUUCAUUCAAAAGACAGACUUCUAGAAGGACAAUAGAGAUAAUGUGUCAAGUAGUAAUUAAAACAGGGAGUAAUGAUUAAAACCAUUUUGAUCUACAUUGUGCUCUGCCAGAUUCAUAAUCUCCUGUGUUUGUUAGGAUGGCUUUCUACUUGCUUUAUACAGAAACUCAAAAUAAACUUCUGUUUGAAGACACCGAAGAAAACAAAAGAUUUCAACUCUGAGCUUGUGGGUCCAGAGCCCUUUCCAGUUCUGGAGUUUAGGUAUAUCUUCUGUACCAUCCUAGCAAGAUAAAUGCGAGCAGGCACUAUCCCUCCUGCUGAUACUGGGAAGUAUCACUACUUGUCUGGGAAGUAAAUCCAGAUGCAGAGCAGAAGACAAGGAAGGGCCACUCGUGUGUACAGGUAAAUGCAACCCAUCUCACCAUUUAGAUUUAAGCUAAGAGCUUCAAAAGAAAUGAAAGUUAAAGAUAAGGUUAGCUUAUACGUUUAGGGAUCUUGGUUCAAAUCCAAGUAAGAAUUGUGUUCCUUGUCUCAUUGUAUGUUUUGGUAUUCAUAAACAUAUUUGGCACAAA